rnacentral:lncRNA from 1 species
UCUGCUGGUGCAAGUCGUGACGGAUCUUCAGGUAGAUUAGGAGCACUUAUAGGCUCUAACUUGACACCUUUAUUAAUGACUUGCCUGGGCUAUUUACACGUUUUCUUGCUCUGCCUGAUACACUAAGAGAAAAUCGAACACUUGUAAGACCUUAUUUUUUCCUUUUUUCCCUUUUUACAUUUCUUUUUUAAAAUUUUUCUUUUCCUCUCUUAUUCCCUUCUACUUCUCUGCAUUUUUUUUUUCAAAUUAAGACAUACUUAAAUAAAACUUUAGGGGCAUAUAAUUUGGAUUUGUGUGAGUUUUCUGAAACAAACCUAUGUUCAUUUUGGAGUGUAAUUAUUGUGGCUCCAUAAAUUUCUGUUCUAUUAAAAACUUAAGCUUUAAAGUGGCCCAAAUUCAACUUCAACAUCACAGCAUCAUCAUCACAGCACAACAUCACAAUAUAUAAAUAACACCUUGAAUAACUAAAUUAUUCCCCAAUCCUACCUUCAAAAAUGUAUCUAAAGAGCCAUUCUCCAUAUACUCUGUCACGAUCAUCACUGGUUUACCUGAAAAGAAAACAGAGUGAUAUAACCUGCUGCUCUUCGAUUUUGCAUUCUUAUCUGGCAAAGCUUACCCAGAAGUUUUUAUUAGUGUCAAAAUUGUAUAUAUAUAUAUAUAUUUAAAAUAUUUAAAUAAAAAUAUUAAAAAAUAAAAUUUAUUAAAUGAAAGAUGCUAUAUGAGAAAAUAUCUAGAAAACAGUUGCUAGUUUUAUCAUUCCACAUUUUCACUAUAUUUUAAGACACACCCCUUUACUCUUUAAUAGAAACAUAUGACAUAGUGACCAUAUUUUUAUAUUAUAUUGUUAUUUCACAUAUUUCCACACAUCCAUUAAAGAAUAUCCUCAUUAUAAAAUAUUUUAAAAACUAUAAUUGACACUAAAGUAGAAUAGACAAUUCAAUGACCAUUUUUAGUUUUUCAUAGCACAGAAACACACACACAUACACACACACACACACACACACACACACUGUAAAGCCAAACUUUAUACUAUAGCUUUUACCAGAUUUUAGUUUGUAUUUAGUUUGACACUGAAGCCCCAUGCUCAUAAGAAUUUCCCAUGUAAGUUAUUUGGAACAAAUCUUUACCUUCAUAUUAAACUUUAAAACUUUCUCCAAAUUCAAAAUUUUUAAGAAA